UACGGAGGGGGCUAGCGUUGUUCGGAAUUACUGGGCGUAAAGCGCACGUAGGCGGCUUUGUAAGUUAGAGGUGAAAGCCCGGAGCUCAACUCCGGAAUUGCCUUUAAGACUGCAUCGCUCGAAUCCAGGAGAGGUGAGUGGAAUUCCGAGUGUAGAGGUGAAAUUCGUAGAUAUUCGGAAGAACACCAGUGGCGAAGGCGGCUCACUGGACUGGUAUUGACGCUGAGGUGCGAAAGCGUGGGGAGCAAACAGG
rnacentral:rRNA from 1 species